rnacentral:rRNA from 1 species
CCUACGGGUGGCAGCAGUGAGGAAUAUUGGUCAAUGGGCGCGAGCCUGAACCAGCCAAGUAGCGUGAAGGAUGACUGCCCUACGGGGUGUAAACUUCUUUUAUAAAGGAAUAAAGUGAGGCACGUUUGCCUUUUUGUAUGUACUUUAUGAAUAAGGAUCGGCUAAUUCCGUGCCAGCAGCCGCGGUAAUACGGAGGCUCCGAGCUUUAUCCGGAUUUAUUGGGUUUAAAGGGGGCGUAGAUGGGUUGUUAAGUCGGUGGUGAAAGUUUGCGGUGAAACCGUAAAAGUGCAAUUGAUACUGGCAGCCUGGAGUACAGUUGAGGUAGGCGGAAUUCGUGGUGUAGCGGUGAAAUGCUUAGAUAUCACAAAGAACUCCGAUUGCGAAGGCAGCCUACGAAACUGCCACUGACAUUGAUGCUCGAAAGUGUGGGUAUCAAACAGGAUUAGAUACCCUAGUAGUC